UUUUGGAGUUCAGCUUAAAUCAGAUCUGAAAAACAGCGUCCUGCUGCAGAGGAGCCAAUGGUCCUAGAAACAGACUCGUGCUAUAAAAAAUCUUACGGUAGCCAGAUGCCCCCGACCCUGACGGAGAUUGAUCAAGUGGCUGCUGCUAUCACCUUUCACUUUGCUUUGGCAAGGGGGGGGGGGAGAAGCACGGAAUGAUGGAAAGUUUCAGGUGGUACUUCCAGAAAGUAUUUAAGGGUUGUUGUUUGUUUUUGUUUUGUUUUUGUUUAAGUGCUGCAAAGAGGAAGGAAUCAUUCUACACCACACAGUGCAAGCACAAAGACAGAAAGCGAGGAGGACAGUGGCUAGCAAGGAGCAGCCACUCCUGAGGAGCAGCCCUUCCUGAGUGUGGCACGCUGCAGAUGUGUGCUCUGUCAGGGGCUGGGAGAUGUUGGCCAUGAGGUUGUGGCAGCCUGUCAGAAGUGGCUGGAGACCUUCAUUGGAUGAACAAAGCCUAUCUACUUUCUGUCGAGCCUGAAAACACUACAGAAGGCAUGGAGCACCCAGUCACAGUCCUGUUGCUCAUCUUUCAAACUGCAGAUGAAUGUCAAUGUCACCCCAGGACACACCACCCUGGAGGCAUUGCCAUGAGAGUCAUGGCAACAACUCAGUAGGUGCUUUUCAGGUGAAGAGCACUUAAGGCCAUGGAUGUGAAUGCUCUCUCUUUUCCCAGGCCCUUCAGCGAUUUAUAAUGCGUUCUGUUCAGGUGCAUCUGAAACAAGUCUUACAAGAAACCCUCAGACCAAAGCAAACAGUGCCACAGAAAAAUGUUGCAAUUCAACCCAAUUUUGAGGGAAAUGCCCCUGAUAACUUCUCAGCUCCGAAGAGAAGUAGUGGAGGCUGGGGCCACUGAGUCUCCAUGGAAAUCACAGAGGGUCUCACCAGGUCCAGCCCAAAGGAGAUGAGUGUGUUUGAGCUGUGUUUGCACUGUCUGGCCAGGAAGACAGGACUCAUCUCUGCCACAAAGGUCUCAGUGUGGUUUGUGCUGGAGUGGGAUCCUACAUCUGGGAUCUACCCAAGAGCUACAUCAUACUAUCUUAGAGAUAGGAAAGCUUCAUAAAGGGAGGACUUUGAAUCAGGAGUUUGCUGUGCAUUGCAACAUUUAUCGCUGUGAUUCACAUACCUCCAGUGUUACUGCAAAUCCAGGCAAAGUGUGAAAUGAUUCUCUCUCUUAUCUUUAAGGAAAUGCAACAUGCUUCAACCACACUGACUCUCAAAGUCAGCUCUACCCUGCUUUGAGCCACAGAAAUUGUCAGGAUUUUUGAAAAAGCUCAACAAACCACAACACCACAAUCUAGCCAAUUAAUUUUGAAGUGCUUUGGGAACAAUUCAGGGUUUUUUCUUUUCACCUUAUGCAGCUCCACAGAAACCCUUGGAGUUCUGCAGGUACAUAACAACCAAGUUAUGAAGGAGCUGGAGGCCCUAAGAGAGGUGGAACAUGAUUAAUAACUGUCAAAUUACAGGGAACACUUGAAAAUCCUUAAAUCUCUCCCCUCUCCUACUUCAUCCUGGCAACUAGGACAUGACUCUUUAGUUAGGCUGUCUUUCCCUGAGGCAGUCCCUUCACUUGAGGCAGGAGAUGAUCUGAAGCCACAAGCAAAGGGUUCAGAAACUUUAUGACAAAAUCAGGAGAAAAAAAUGCAGACUGGGUGAACUGCCACACAGAGGAUCACAGGAGGGAGUAGCUGGCAUGUGUAUGCCAGCACCAGAAUCCUCAAACUUUCAUCAUGGGAACCACAGCUUGCCUGCCAGAUAAACCAUCUCCUUUUGUAUUCACAAUUGCAAAAUGUCUCUGCAGCAGCUCUAGCAAUUGCUUAGAGAGGAAAGAAAUAGAAAAACUUUUCUUGCAUCCUUAGCAUAGCAGGUGUUUUACAAAUUAAAGAAAAAAAGAGAUUAAUUCUGCAUUUUAUUUUGGCCCUUUGCUAUAUCCAUGUUCUGUGUCUGAAAUGUUUUCUUCGCCAAAGAGACAAGCAGAGAUAGUCAACUCUUUACAAACAGUGGUUUUAGGUUUAUCAAUGUUAAGGUUGUUUUCUUGUACACAUUUCAGUACUGUUUUUAGUCUAGAUAGCAUAGGGUAACUGUAUUUACUUUGCUGCCCUGCUGUGUUUAGCAGAAAAACUUAAGUUUGUUUCUCACUCUUGUUUGCCAUGGAGGUCUCAAUCUCAGAGAAGAUUGUAGAAGAAACUCAGUUAAUCGAAGGUUAAACAAAAUGAAUGAAGUUUGUAUGGUGCCCUGAAGGUUAUUAGACUCAAGGUCUGAGCAGCUGCCAAGGGGAGUGAGUUCCAGGGCAGGAGCAUUCAUCUGAGAAAUCCCAGUUGCUGGAUGUGGAGGGGUUGAACUUGGGAGCUUCAGGCGCCUCCCAGCUGAGCUCGGCUGCCAUGGCUGCAUGUGGGAGUGAUGCUCUGGAGAGGCACCUGGUUUAUCUUCCACUUCAGUCCAACUUGGAGAUGGAAUUGAAAUCACAAGUUGCAGCAGAUAAGUUUUUACCAUAGAGCCUGUGGCUAAAGAAGAGACCCAGCAAGGAGAAUGAAGGCUUGUUCUUCUGCCAGUUCACUUGCUACUUAGCCCCAGGCUGGGAGCAUGGUGCCAUAUGCAGAACAUGAAGCAGGAUACAGUGAAUUUAUUCCUUUAGCACUUUUGAAAACCACAUCUGUGUAUGCAGCGUGUGGAAUUUGUCAUGCAAACACCUAUGUUGUUUUAGAUACCCUUAAACAGGCUUUCAGAGGGAUCUCAAAGAAUGCAAGCUAUUGAAGAACUGACUGACACUUCUAUGUACAGCACAGAACCAUGAGACACAGCUCCUGAACUGCGAGCACUUGCUAUUGCUACAGGCACUGAGGGAAGCCUAGGUGGCUGUACCUCCCUGCUCUCCUCCCAGCUCUGCAGAUAAAUGCUACCUGCUAAUCUUACAGUGUCAGAGCCUGCACUCAUGGGAAAGUUGCACCAUCUUACCUCAAGGGGCUUUAUGUUUAGUUAGAACGACAUAGGAUGAAUUCAUCCUGCAUUGGAGGAUAGGAAGGCUCUGCAGAAGGAUCUGGACAGCACAAGAAGCAAAGUGUGACCUUGCAGCUUCCCACUGUGCUCUUUCACUUCACUUUUCUGGUCAGUCACGAGAGAGAGCUCAAGCAGAAGGCAGCCGAUUCUCUCCAUCUCCCAUCACCCUUGCAGGGCUACUGCUGCGCAUUCCACUGCAGGGCAGCCAUUCCUGGCACGAGGUUUGCUCCCCGACAGGCUCGUGUGAGCACUGGUGGGACUCCAGGCUGUGGAUCCCAUACUGCAUGGGCUAGGUGGAUGACUCACAAAAGCCAGGAUUGUACCCUGCCAGCAAGCAGCAAAGUGAGCAGUGAUGCUGGGUGAAGUGAGCGUCCCCAAGGCAGCCCUUUGUCCCUUGGAGGGAGGAUGAGGAGGAGGUGUAAAUCACAGCUGGGUUUCCACACAGUAACCUGAAGGCCUUUACCUCUCUGCACGGUGUUUCACAAACAGCACAGCGGGCCAAGAGAUGACUUUUGUGCUUGUUCUGGUUUUCCCACACAGUGUGGCUUGCUCCCUAACAAAAAUCAGCAGGCAGAAGGUUUCUUGGGUAACCACUGCUCCAUGAGACAAAGUGAGAGAAAAAACAAACUGCGAAAUAUGGACUGUAGGCUUUUGCCUUGCCCACCCUUACAGCCUGUGUGCAGAUGAGAAGUGCCAAAGGUCAAAAGGCCAUUGACUUCAUCUUGUUCCCCUUAAUUUUUAUGUCCACUGUUACUGGAUGGGAUGGGUCCAGACUGUGGAUGCCUGUAUCCCACCGCUCUUUUCAGGAUUCUUCCCAGUGUUUUUUGGGGUAAGGACAGGGGCUUCCUAUGGGAAGUCAGCCCACGGAGCCCAUUACCACCUCUGGCACCAUUAGUGUGCUGAGGGAUGAGCGAGGAGGCUCUUGCAAGGAGGAGCGCUCAAAGCUUGCAACUGCAAAAAUCCAAAAGCAAAACAGUGGAAAACUGGCUGGAUAAAUGUGGAAAGCUCUUGGAAAUAAACAGCCCACAGAGGCACAGCCAACCUUUUUGAAACUGGUUUAAAGCGACCAGUUACUGAGUCCUCCUCCAUGUGGGUUGAGCCUGAGGGGAAGGCUCACUCCCUGUGAGGUGUGCGGAGGGCAGAGCGGGUCCCUCUCCCAGCCUCCUGGGACUACAACGUGGAGAAGAGAGGCCAGCUGGCAAUGCUGGAGGCCAAAAGCCUCCCUUCCCAGGGUUUGGAGCAAAGUUGAGAGCGUUGAGCAAGAUGCAGGGCUGAGUCUGGUCUGAGUCCCCCAGUGGUGGCAGGGGAGGGCAGGGGCAUGGCAGGGCUGUGGGAGUUGUCGUCGGCCUGCAUCCAUCUGCCCCGCAACACUUUUAAAGUGCUAACACGUUUUAUGGCGCCAAGCAAGUGAAACGAAAUAGUGGCUCCUGGCUCCUCGUAACUUGUGUAAAUUCCAGAUGUGACAAUCCUUUUACUGGCAAAUGGAGAUGUUUAUUCCUGUGCUCUCCUCGAGUUGAAUCAGCUCCCACUAGGAAGAGCUCGCUGAAAAUGUGCCUGCCUGGCUACUAAACGGCUGCAUAAUUGUCCCUCUGCCCCUUCCCGGAGCUGCACAUAAAAAGUGCAAUCCAAAUUCUUGGGCAAACCAGGCAGGGCCCUGGAGAGCACUUCCCACCCCCCUUCAGGAACUGAACGUCAUGCCUAAAGGAUAAUGCAGGAUUAGAGCAAGGGGAAAACGAGUGGCUUAAACAGAUCCCAACUGCA